GAGGCAAUAACAGCGAGCAUAUACAUGCAAGUCGAGCGGACAGAUGGGAGCUUGCUCCCUGAUGUUAGCGGCGGACGGGUGAGUAACACGUGGGUAACCUGCCUGUAAGACUGGGAUAACUCCGGGAAACCGGGGCUAAUACCGGAUGGUUGUUUGAACCGCAUGGUUCAAACAUAAAAGGUGGCUUCGGCUACCACUUACAGAUGGACCCGCGGCGCAUUAGCUAGUUGGUGAGGUAACGGCUCACCAAGGCAACGAUGCGUAGCCGACCUGAGAGGGUGAUCGGCCACACUGGGACUGAGACACGGCCCAGACUCCUACGGGAGGCAGCAGUAGGGAAUCUUCCGCAAUGGACGAAAGUCUGACGGAGCAACGCCGCGUGAGUGAUGAAGGUUUUCGGAUCGUAAAGCUCUGUUGUUAGGGAAGAACAAGUACCGUUCGAAUAGGGCGGUACCUUGACGGUACCUAACCAGAAAGCCACGGCUAACUACGUGCCAGCAGCCGCGGUAAUACGUAGGUGGCAAGCGUUGUCCGGAAUUAUUGGGCGUAAAGGGCUCGCAGGCGGUUUCUUAAGUCUGAUGUGAAAGCCCCCGGCUCAACCGGGGAGGGUCAUUGGAAACUGGGGAACUUGAGUGCAGAAGAGGAGAGUGGAAUUCCACGUGUAGCGGUGAAAUGCGUAGAGAUGUGGAGGAACACCAGUGGCGAAGGCGACUCUCUGGUCUGUAACUGACGCUGAGGAGCGAAAGCGUGGGGAGCGAACAGGAUUAGAUACCCUGGUAGUCCACGCCGUAAACGAUGAGUGCUAAGUGUUAGGGGGUUUCCGCCCCUUAGUGCUGCAGCUAACGCAUUAAGCACUCCGCCUGGGGAGUACGGUCGCAAGACUGAAACUCAAAGGAAUUGACGGGGGCCCGCACAAGCGGUGGAGCAUGUGGUUUAAUUCGAAGCAACGCGAAGAACCUUACCAGGUCUUGACAUCCUCUGACAAUCCUAGAGAUAGGACGUCCCCUUCGGGGGCAGAGUGACAGGUGGUGCAUGGUUGUCGUCAGCUCGUGUCCUGAGAUGUUGGGUUAAGUCCCGCAACGAGCGCAACCCUUGAUCUUAAUUGCCAGCAUUCAGUUGGGCACUCUAAGGUGACUGCCGGUGACAAACCGGAGGAAGGUGGGGAUAAAUUCAAUUUUUAUG
rnacentral:rRNA from 1 species